rnacentral:rRNA from 1 species
AUACGUGAGUGACCUUCCUUGGACUCUGGGAUAAGCCCGGGAAACUGGGUCUAAUACCGGAUACGACCAGUCCUCGCAUGGGGUGCUGGUGGAAAGGGUUUGUACUGGUUCUUGAUGGGCUCACGUCCUAUCAGCUUGUUGGUGAGGUAAUGGCUUACCAAGGCGACGACGGGUAGCCGGCCUGAGAGGGUGACCGGCCACACUGGGACUGAGACACGGCCCAGACUCCUACGGGAGGCAGCAGUGGGGAAUAUUGCACAAUGGGCGCAAGCCUGAUGCAGCGACGCCGCGUGGGGGAUGACGGCCUUCGGGUUGUAAACCUCUUUCAGCAGGGAAGAAGCGAAAGUGACGGUACCUGCAGAAGAAGCGCCGGCUAACUACGUGCCAGCAGCCGCGGUAAUACGUAGGGCGCAAGCGUUGUCCGGAAUUAUUGGGCGUAAAGAGCUCGUAGGCGGUUUGUCGCGUCUGCUGUGAAAGCCCGGGGCUCAACCCCGGGUGUGCAGUGGGUACGGGCAGGCUGGAGUGCAGUAGGGGAGACUGGAAUUCCUGGUGUAGCGGUGAAAUGCGCAGAUAUCAGGAGGAACACCGAUGGCGAAGGCAGGUCUCUGGGCUGUUACUGACGCUGAGGAGCGAAAGCAUGGGGAGCGAACAGGAUUAGAUACCCUGGUAGUCCAUGCCGUAAACGUUGGGCACUAGGUGUGGGGGACAUUCCACGUUUUCCGCGCCGUAGCUAACGCAUUAAGUGCCCCGCCUGGGGAGUACGGCCGCAAGGCUAAAACUCAAAGGAAUUG